UUUUUUAUUAGAGAAAGCCGACAGCUUGAAAAGGAGAAAAACCUCUCCUCCUUCAUCUUCUCUUCAUGAUCUUCUCACUCAAGACCCUUGCAUGCACCUCAUUCGAGCUUAUAAAAAGAGAGAGACAGGUAAAUAAACACGAGAGUUAGACUUGUAGGUCUAAGCUGAAGAAGGAAAACACCACCAUAGAGAGAGAGGGAGAGAGACUAGAAGAAGCGGCGAGGGAGGAAGAAAUUUGGAGCUGAAAAAUCAAAGAAGAAAAGGGUCCUAGACAUACUCGGUCCAUUUAGAGACAUUCUUGGUAAGUAUUGAUGGAAAGCUCCAAAUUCUUAAGCUAGGGUUUUUGAACAAUUUUGAGAAAUUGAGACAAACAAGUAGAGUAGAGAUGAAAUAAAUAAGAAAUAUGAAAUAAAUGUUGAGAAAUGGCAAAAAAAAAAAAAAAAGGAUAUUGUAGAAGCCCUAGUGUUUCAGUCAAAGAGAAAAAAAAUCAAGGGAAGGGUUUUUCCAAGUAAAUUCGUUUACAUGCAUGUCGAUAAUUGAUGUUGUUAGAUAUAAUUAUUGUGAUUUUUGUUGAGAUUAAUGUUUAAAGGUUACCUUAACUUGACUUUAAUUUGAAUAUUCUUGGAUUAAUGUUUAGGAUUGACAAAAAUAUAUGAUACUCCGAAUGAAGUGAAACUAGUUAGUGCUGUAAACUUGAGUAUACAUAGAAAUAUCAUAAAGCAAUGCAAAAUAACGAGUGAUUGAAAUGUAUUAUCAUGUGUUUUGGUAAGUACAUGAACAUGCUGUAGCAAUGGUUCUAAAUGGUGUGUUGAUUUAAGUUCAUCUUCUGAAUCAGGAGGAACACCGAGGACUAGAUCAUCGAUUGGAAUAGAUCAUGCCACAGGAAGGUCAGGUUGGUUCUCAUUUCCCUACGCUCCUAUUUAAGUUGGUAAUUAAAUCAUUUAAAUUAAAUUGUAGGUAAUGAAGAUCAUUUUAUGGUUGUUUUCCAAAUAAAUGGAAAUCUUGAGGUUGUCUUUAUUUUUUAACGAAGACCAUUGUGUUUUUGUUUUUUAAGUGAAUGGAAACCAAGUGUGGUUGUCUUCAUUAUUGAAUGAAAUUCACUGUGUCGUUGUUUCCAAAUGAAUAGAAAUCAUUGUGAUUGUCUUAAUGUUUUAAUGAAGACCAUUUUGUUCUUGUUUCCAAAUGCAUGAAAACCAUUGUGGGUGUCUUCAUUUUUUAACGAAGACCAUUGUGUUGUUGUUUUCAAAUGAAUAGAAACUAUUGUUGUUGUCUUAAUUGUUGAAUGAAAGCCAAUGUAUUGUUCUUUCCAAAUGUAUUGUUUGACUUUAUUUUGAAUGAAGACCACUGUGUUGUUAUUUCUAUAACGAUAGAAAAUUACCAUGCUUGUCUUCAUUGUAAGAUGAGGACUAUUGUAAAGUUGCGCCCCUUUCUAAAUGGAAACUUUUGGGAUUGCCAUCAAUAUGGAUGAAGGUCCUUUCAAAGGAUAAAUCCGGAGUCAAUUCUUUAUAAUAAGAUAAUGGAAGUCCAAGAGAAACUGAACAAGUUUAAAUAUCAUGUCAUGGUAUGUAGAUAGGCGCGGAAUGUGUCUAAAAUUGUGUUGGGGGUGAUGUAUUGUGUGUAAUCUAAGAUCAUAUAAGAAUCUGAUUCAUGUUUACAUUGGUGUGGUACCUAACACCACUUUCUUCACGCACACUUUUGCGAGCAUGAACACAUACAUCAAGAAUAAUAUUUGUAGAACACUUGAGGGUCUAAUCUAUUGGUCAACUGCAAGGUUUGUCUUUGCGAACGUUCUGGGUUCGAUCCUCAAGAGCACUAGCCUGUCACCCCCGCGGUGCCUUACCUGCUUAUUGGGCUUGCAGGAUGUUCAGUAGACCCUGAGAUUAGUUGUGGUGCGCGUAAGCUGGCCCGGAUAUCCAGGGUCAUAAAAAAAAAAAAAAAAUUGUAGAGUUAAUUAUCAUGUUAAUUAACAUAAGUUAUCAUAUAAAAAAUUAUAUUUGUUAAUGUAUAUAUGUUUUAUUAUUUAAAUUGUAGUUAUAAUCAAAUUAAAAAAAAUUGUGAACAGUUAACUUGAUUGAUUCUCGUUGAUACAACAAAAUAGUUAUGUAACAAAACAGUAUGUACACAUGUUCACGUACAUAUGUACACACUUAUGUGCGUGUGUGAAUUCCAUAUUUUCACAUUAAUUGAAAAAAGAAAACUUCAUAUAACAGGCACAAUUCCCGCAACAUUAUAAGGAAAUUACCUGUGUAUAAAGAAUAAAGUAUCCAAGCUGGCGUUUACGUACUUGCCAUUUCCAUCUAACAGUUGUCUCUAUAAACAGCGGCCUAGAUUUACAUAUCUCCAUCGCGUUUCGUAGUCGCUUCAAUAUUUUGAAAGACGUUGUACUCUCGACCUCCUUAAUUUUGAUUUUCUUCUCUGUUCAUUUGGGAGUUGUUUUCUAUAAUUUUGACUUCCCUGAAACAUGUCGUGAAAGAAAUUACCAUGAACACAUCGUGUUCAUGGCUAGCUAUUAAUCCUCUUUUCCAAAGUAGUGAUGACUGGUGAUGGUGAAUUGCCAUGAACAACGAUCUCUCUAUGGGUUUGAUUUAUCUAAUUACAUCUUAUGUGACAAUACAAAGUGGGAUGAAUCUGAGGAUGUUGUAUCAGAUUUCAAGCAUCAUAAAUGGAUUGUGUUCAUGGCACUUCAUGUAUCUAUCUGGCUCGGUGCUUGUAUCAAGAUAAAUGAAAUGCCAUGAACAAUAACAAUCUCUUUAUAUGUGUUAUGAUCGCAUAAUAAUGCCUUUGCAUCAAGAAGAAAAAUACUUGAUAGAUGAUAAAGAUUGCCACAAGACAGAAAUUCCCCCCCCCCCCCCCCGUAACUUCUUUCUCUUCUAUUCCCACUCAGAUGGCUUAUGGAUCGUUCAAUUUCAGCAUGAAUUAUGUCUUCAUUCUGGAGCUAUUCCUUGUAUUCAU
rnacentral:lncRNA from 1 species